rnacentral:rRNA from 1 species
CCUACGGGAGGCAGCAGUGAGGAAUAUUGGUCAAUGGGCGAGAGCCUGAACCAGCCAAGUCGCGUGAGGGAAGACGGUCCUAUGGAUUGUAAACCUCUUUUGCCGGGGAGCAAAAAGCGGUACGUGUACCGCAUCGAGAGUACCCGGAGAAAAAGCAUCGGCUAACUCCGUGCCAGCAGCCGCGGUAAUACGGAGGAUGCGAGGGUUAUCCGGAUUUAUUGGGUUUAAAGGGGGCGCAGGCGGCGAGGUAA